rnacentral:lncRNA from 1 species
CGGCACUGCAGCUGAGGACCCCCGCGUUCCCUAGCAACGCCCCAAACCUGCGGAGGCGACUCCUGCACCCGCCGGGCCCACGCUGGGGGUAGGCGAGGGGAGACGCGCCUCGCCGGGCUUCUUCCUGAACAGGGUUUCUCUCCUUCCUCCGUGAAAAAGGAUCCCGAGGUGGAGUCACGGUGGAGGAACUCAGAAGCUCUUUGCUGCAGCCCAGUGGCCGCCGGCGGAACCUGACGGGGCUCGGAGGCCCGGGCGGGACAGGGCCAGGCCGUGAGCGUGCCCUUUAUCCCCCACAGCCGUGAGUUUGGGGGCAUCUGUCCCCCUUCGCAGGAGGAGACCAGCUUCCCUCUCCACAUGCUCCCAGCAUGAUCCACUGCCCUACCACAGUACUGAAAGCAACACAACCAACUAUUCUUGGACUAAAGCCUCCAAAACUAUGAUUUAAAAUAAAGCUUUCCUCCUUUGAAGUUCAUUGUCUCAG